rnacentral:rRNA from 1 species
UACGUAGGCAGCAAGCGUUGUUCGGAAUUACUGGGCGUAAAGAGUGUGUAGGCGGUGCUCUAAGUUCGGUGUGAAAUCUCCCGGCUUAACUGGGAGGGUGCGCCGGAAACUGGAGUGCUCGAGCGUGGGAGAGGAAAGCGGAAUUCCUGGUGUAGCGGUGAAAUGCGUAGAUAUCAGGAGGAACACCUGCGGUGUAGACGGUUUUCUGGACCAUUGCUGACGCUGAGACACGAAAGCGUGGGUAGCAAACAGG